UUAGGAAUCUUCCGCAAUGGACGGAAGUCUGACGGAGCGACGCCGCUUGGAGGAGGAAGCCCUUCGGGGUGUAAACUCCUGAACUGGGGACGAAAGCCCUGUGUAGGGGGAUGACGGUACCCAGGUAAUAGCGCCGGCCAACUCCGUG
rnacentral:rRNA from 1 species